ACGAGUUGGGAAUACAAGAUGAUGGAGCAGAAAAGUCCAGAAGUCUGGGAGUUUCUUAAGAAUGGAAAGUCAACACUGUGGGUGGACGAUGAAUACCAGUGUUCAACGAGUCGACCGAUGUUCCUGUCAAACAAGUUGUAUCUCCCCAGUGGGUUGGAAGUGUGAUCUUGCCGGCAAAUUCGAGAUCAGUGUCUCCUUAGCAAGCCUGAAGGUUGUCACGUCCCCGGUGGGAGUGUCAGGGGCAGAUGUUUCCCAGGAUGGAAGACGUUUC
rnacentral:lncRNA from 1 species